UAAGGAAUAUUGGUCAAUGGACGCAAGUCUGAACCAGCCAUGCCGCGUGAAGGAUGAAGGUCCUCUGGAUUGUAAACUUCUUUUAUCUGGGACGAAAACGGGAUUUUUAUCUCAAUUGACGGUACCAGAGGAAUAAGCACCGGCUAACUCCGUGCCAGCAGCCGCGGUAAUACGGAGGGUGCAAGCGUUAUCCGGAUUCACUGGGUUUAAAGGGUGCGUAGGUGGGCAGAUAAGUCAGUGGUGAAAUCUUCCGGCUUAACCGGGAAACUGCCGUUGAUACUAUUUGUCUUGAAUAUUGCGGAGGUAAGCGGAAUAUGUCAUGUAGCGGUGAAAUGCUUAGAUAUGACAUAGAACACCAAUUGCGAAGGCAGCUUACUACACAAUCAUUGACACUGAGGCACGAAAGCGUGGGUAGCGAACA
rnacentral:rRNA from 1 species